rnacentral:snRNA from 1 species
AAGAGUGCUUGAAAUUGUC